GAACCUCUGAAUUUAUUUCCUAGGUGACCUCGGAUCAGGUAGGGAUACCCGCUGAACUUAAGCAUAUCAAUA
rnacentral:rRNA from 1 species